CGAAUCCUAGACAGUUCAUGGUAAAUAAAAAGAGAGAUUACAAUCUAGCAUAACAAAUUUCGGGUACCAGAAGCGAGAAAGAAGAAGAGAGAACAGCAAAUAAUUUUAAAUAAGAUAUCAGUUUGUGAAAAAAACAGCAGAAAAAAACAUGAAAGAAAACCAAAAUUAUUGAAGGAAGAAGCAGAAGCAAACAGUGCCAUUAUUCAAAAAGUUCUAAAAGAAGAAAGCAGAAGCAAACAAUGCUUAACCCCGGAAUCGGACAAGUCCGACAUUUUGACACAAACUCCACCUGCUGCUCAUACCUCAGUCCACAUAGCAUAGACAAUUUGUCUUUGUUCACACAGGUUGGUGAUGUCUUGGCUUCACAACCCCCUCCUCACCAGAAAAUAUAAAUGUAGCUCUGUGUGUGUUUGUGUGUGUGUGUGUGUGAGAGAGAGAGAGAGAGAGAGAGAGAGAGAGAGAGAGAGAGAGAGAGAGAGAGAGA